AUUGAACGCUGGCGGCAUGCUUUACACAUGCAAGUCGAACGGGGUGAGGGGCGAACUCCUCAUUCAGUGGCGAACGGGUGAGUAAUGCAUCGGAACGUGUCCCGUAGUGGGGAGUAACUCGGCGAAAGCCGUGCUAAUACCGCAUAUGCUCUACGGAGGAAAGUGGGGACCUGCAAGGGCCUCACGCUAUGGGAGCGGCCGAUGUCCGAUUAGCUUGUUGGCGGGG
rnacentral:rRNA from 1 species